rnacentral:rRNA from 1 species
UACGUAGGGGGCAAGCGUUGUCCGGAUUUAUUGGGCGUAAAGAGCGUGUAGGCGGCUAGAUAGGUCCGUUGUGAAAACUCGAGGCUCAACCUCGAGACGCCGAUGGAAACCAUUUGGCUAGAGUCCGGAAGAGGAGAGUGGAAUUCCUGGUGUAGCGGUGAAAUGCGCAGAUAUCAGGAAGAACACCCGUGGCUAAGGCGGCUCUCUAGUACGGUACUGACGCUGAGACGCGAAAGCGUGGGGAGCGAACAGG